GUGGCCCUUGGGGAUUAAACACUGUAAAUAAUCUUACAUGCAUAGAUCUUAAUGCUGGGCACUCUUGAUAUUUUGUUGUUUGCCAGCUCAGUCUUUUAUGAGACAUUUAGCAAAGACAACAUGGGUUAGGCUGCUUUCUCUCCUUUAAAAUAAUUCCAAAGAAGUUAAGAAAUUUUGCCAUGUUUGCAAGUCAAAUUUUGCCAUGUUUUGCAGGUCAAAUUCUUUUUGCAGUCGGUUGGAGAACAGCUUUCUUUACUUACUGGAAAACACAUCUCUUCAAUGAAGCUGAUUUCACAUAACAAGAGUUGGGUGUCCCUGUGGUUUGAGCGAAAGAAAGCCGGAAGUCAAGGUGAAAGCGAAAGUAGCUGAAGUCAUUGGAGUAGCAGAGGUCUAAAUUAGUCUGUUAUUAGUCUUGGUACACGAGUAUAUUAUAUAUUACAUAUUUGAAGCAUAACUAAACAGCAAUAUUACCUGUCUUCAAAGCAUUAUAAGCUUCUUUAAAGUCAGAUUUGACGUCUCCAUCCUCAAAAUCUAGCAGUACUGCGGAAGCGGAAGAAAGCUUGCCUAAAUCGUUGGGCUUUUUUGAGUCUUUGCUCUGAGAACGGGUUUGCUUCUUGCCUAGUUGGGACUUAGGCACCGACAUAGUCUGGUUGUUUGUCAUGAAUCAACAUCCUUAAACAUCCUUC